CCAGGCUCACGGUGGGAGGGUACACGUGUGUGCGGAGGGAGGGGAAGGGCCUGCCACAAGUGUCUUACCUCUCUCUGCCUUUGGGUUCAGAGGAGAAUGUCCUCUUGGAGGAAUGCGGUUAGCCCAGGUGUUAGGAGCAGCCUACCCGUGUCAAGAGCCUUUCCAUGUGCUGCUUUGAGAGUGUUUGGAACCGGCGCCCAUUCCCUGCCUCUACAGAAAUGGAUCUCGAAUGUGCCUAGAAGGGUCUGGGGCUGAGGCCGCCAGUACUCCUAGCCCCUUGAUGAUUCAGGAAUGCUUCUACUGCCUGAGCACGCCCUCCGUCCCUCACUGGUCCAGUCAGACAGGACUUCAUCACUGAGCCACUACUCCCCGACUCCCAGCCCCUAGCUCAUGCCCCUGCAUUGUAUCAAGUAAACUAAAUUUAGACCCUCUGGGACAACAGAGAAGCCAUGUGGCCCAGAUCUCUGUCUUCGUGUGCUGUGGGCCAUAUGACAUGCUUGCCUUCUCGGAUCUGAAAACCUAGGCUAGAUUUGGGUCUAGUGAAGCAACUUGGGGGUUGGGGAAAAGGCUACAAUCGGAAACUGCGCAUUUCUGUAACAAUAACUUCAGACAAAGUAAGAUGAAGAGGUUUGAAAAAUAAAUACAAUUGCCACGAAA
ensembl:processed_transcript 5031434O11Rik RIKEN cDNA 5031434O11 gene